GCAAGACUCUGUCUCAAAAAUAAAUAAAUAAAUAAAUAAAACAGAAGUUGUCCUCCUGAGGGGAUGGAAAGAGAGACUGAGGCAGUUAACUGGGCCUUCCUUCCUCUGGGCCACAGGCCUGGCCUCUGUUACAUACCUGGAGCCCAACAGGCAAGGAUAAAGCAGUUUGCUUAAGAAACUGCAGGAGAACAAGCUGGGACAACACACAUUCGUUCUCCUUAGGGUGACGGAGGGAGUGGUUUCAGAGGCACAGUCUGGCAGAGCCUACGUGAGCAUUUUCUUGCCAAGAUCACUCCUGCUUGAUCAAUCUACUGAGCAAACAGCACUCUGCUUGCAGGGGACUUGUGCUGAGGCAGCUGCACCAUGAACUACAUACAGCAAAUGAUGAGCCCGAGGGCAGACAGCAGUAAGACUCCACCUCCCACCGCUGCGAUGAGGAUGACAGUCAAGUCUGUGAGCAGAGACAUAAAGAGACAGAUGAAGAGGCAGCUGGGGUGAGCUCUGCAAUGAACUUGAGGCAUCUCCAAAAGCAGCUGCCAUCUCUCCAAAGGUGGAGCGCCAUACAUGUGGCUCCUUGUGUGCACAUGGGGCUCCUCAUAUCACAAAGUGUUUAUUUCCUUUCCUCUUGGAUCUGGGUCAGCCAAUAUAAGGCAACUGUGCCAGUUCUGGGCCUAACUUUUAAGAGGAUGUCAGCUUGCACUUUCUCUCUGAGAGAAAGCCAGCUACUAUGUAAGAAGUCUGACUAUGCUGAGACCACCAUGCUGUGAGAAAGCCCAAGCUAGCCAUGUAGAGAUUCCACCGGGGAAAAAAAUCAACCCAGUGAGAACCAAAGGCCAUAGACAUAUGUCUCCAGUUGAAUUCUCCAAGCCAUCCUCUCUACUUGUUCAAGGCUUCUGGUUGGGGCCCCAGAUAUCCUGGAGCACAGAUAAGAUACACUGCUGUGCCCUGUCUGAAUUCCUGAUCCAUAAAUCGUGGGUAAACAAAAUAGCUAUUGCCAAAGCCACCAAAUUUUGGGGUAGUUUGUAUAUAGCAAUGAACAAUUGAAACAAACUGAGGGACCUACCAGAUCAACUUCAAAGGCUACUCCUGGCCUACAACAGGUGUGUUCCACUGAUUGCCACAGCCUGUCUUGGAGAAGAGAAGAGCAGAGGAGGGUAGGAGAAAGCAGGGAGUCAAAAGUCAGAAGUGAGGCAGCUAAAGGGAGGGUUGUUUCCUUUGUGCUGUCCUUUUCCUGCAGCUGCACAAAGGAAAAAGAAAAUAAAUCAGAGGGGGAACCCUGUACCAAACAGCGAAUUAGAAUGUCUUGCUUAUUCACCAAGAAAACAAAAGGUGAGAUCCAAAGGAAAGAGGAAUGGAAAGAAAUGACAGAAAAUGAAUCUAAGAGAGGAAGAAAACCCAGGAUAUAAUCUAUGAGUGUGGAGAGGUUUUCACUUGUGGCAUUUGGCUCCCACCAGUUCUCUUGAGGCUAACCAGUUGUGUGGCUUGGAUGGACCUUCAAUCACUCUGACCCCCAGAAAGGGAAAGGGAAAAAAGCAGCCUCCACAGUCCCUUCUGAUUCUGACACUGUGAUGCUCGGUGCCUUCACUGAGUAAAGGGCAGACAUGGCCCCACCACAGCCUGCCCUGCCACACCUGCAUUCCCUUGCUUGAUACCCUUUAGUGGUGCCCAUGACUUUGAGGAAUAAAGGCAAACUCAUCAUCCUGGCUCCAAGGCCUCCCACUGAGGGUAUUUCAUGGAUUCCAACGUUUCACUGAGACUAAACAAAAAACCAUGUACCUGUCAGACUUUUCAGGUCCCCAUAUUUUAAUUCAUGACACCGAAUCCCAUGAUACUUUUAUGAGGUGGCUAUUAUUAUCUACUCUCUGUAGAUGAGGAAGAUCAUAGGUGUGAAGAGACUUCCCCUACGUAAAAGAGAGAUGAAUGGUAAAGGAUGCUGGUAGAUUGACUAAAAAAAAUCUAGGCUGGCCAAAAGAAUGCAGUCGAAGGGAUGGUGUGUGAGUUCCUAACCUAAAAGUAUCAAAAGACCUUAUAUGCCUCCUCCAGUCUCUUGUGGAUCUCUCUGCCUCUGCCAUGAAAACAGCCCAGGCUGGAGAACAAGAGAUCAUGUAGAGUCAAGCCAAGUAAUCUCAGUUGUCUCAGAUGAUCUUGGCUGAGCCUCAGCUUUUUGAAAGCACCAAGCUAAGAUCAGCAAAGUCCUCUAGCCAACCUGCAGCUGCCAGUAGGUGCAUGAAUGACUGAGCCCUGAUAAGUCCAGCUCAGACCAGAAUUGCCCAGCCAACGUUGGAGCAAUAAUAGAUGGCUGCUACUAAGCCACUAUGUUCUGGGAUGGUUUGUUACUCAGCACUAUUGAUGCAAUAGCUGACUGAUACAUGGACAGUCAGGACUCAAUCUGUGAUUCUGACUUGUCUCCAGGCUUGCUCUCUAUCCUCCAGCUGACAAUUUUUUGUUCAUCACUGUCCCCAAAGACCCUGAAGGCCCUUACCCACAGUCCUUGGGGUAAGUGUCACCGAGAAGAGCAGGUCUAGC
rnacentral:lncRNA from 1 species